GAAUAAGAAGCUUAUUGUGAAUAUUGACCUAAUAUCUUGGGGGGGGGGCAUGAGGGGUGUUUAAUCCCUCGCGCCCCCACCCCAAAAAAAAAAAAAAAACGAAAAUAUGAGUUGUGACUCCGAGGCAUUAAAGCAACGGAAUGCCAGAUAAGAGCUUUGCCUCGGCUAAAAAAGAAAGAGAGAUUCCGCGAUGAGACGAAAGCAAAUCACGUCGGAAAGCGGCCACGGACCGUCGCCCGUGCCGCCGCCGCCAGGAUAAUACCGGCGACCCCGAGCGGGAACGGACCGCGCGAAAGGACUCUUUUAUCUAAGACCCGAAUCUAAACAAAGUCCGUCUGAGAUCGAGUAGCGGCUUUUCCCCCGCGUCGGAUCGCGCGACUUAAACAUAAAAGAGUUUUAUCUUAAAGAGGUUUAAGCCGAAGAGUGGCAGGCUGGCAGGGGAAAGGGGGCGGGGCUUUGGGGGCCGGCUUUCAAACUUCCAACGAGUUCGUUUCCCAACGCCGCGAGGCUUUAUUUGAAGUCAACCUUCUUUCAGCUGGUAAGAUUAAUUUUAGAGUUCUUAGUUUUGCAGUACUUUGACCCUCACUUUUUCGGGGGAUUUUUCCAAAGGCCUUUAUGAAUGCGGAAACGGCGGCGUGAGAACUUCAAAGACGGAACAUGGACCAAAAUAUCGUGUAUCGCCUUGACAACCUAACUUGCAACUAUUGUAUGAAAUAACUCUUUGUACUAUUUGGAUUUUUGCGUUCUCAGUGGGGUACACGUACAGAAACCGAUCGGACCGGUGCCGAUUUUCUUCGUCUGCAGUCCCUUUCAGUUCAGGGUGUACCCUGCCUCCUGCCUGUUGAUGGAUGGGAUAGGCUCCAGCACUCCCCUGUAAACCUCGUGAGGAUAAGUGGCAAAGAAGAUGGAUGGGUAUUCAGAGAGUACGUUUUUCAACAGGUGUGUCAUCCAUCCAUCCAUCCAUCCAUCCAUUAUCUACUGCUCUUCCGGGUCAGGUUGCGGGGGAAGUUGCUUCAGCCUUCCCUUUCCCCAGCCACUUCUUCCAGCUCUUCCGGAGGGAUCCCGAGGCGUUCCCGAGCCAGCCGAGAGACAUAGUCUCUCCAGCGUGUCCUGGGUCGUCCUCCGGUUUUCUUUCCGGUGGGACGUGCCCGGAACACCUCACCGGGGAGGCGUCCGGUAGGCAUGUGGAUCAGAUGCCCCAGCCACCUCAUCUGGCUCCUCGACACUGAGCCCCUCCCUGAUGACCGAGCUUCUCACCCGUUCUCUAAGGGAGAGCCCGGACACCCUGCGGAGGAAACUCAUUUCGGCCGCAUGUAUCCGGGAUCUUGUUCUUUCGGUCAUGAACCACAGCUCACGCCCUUAGAUGAGGGUAGGAACGUAGAUCGACUAGUGAAUAAAGAACUUUGCCUUUCGACUUAGCUCUCUCUUUACCGCAAGGGACCGAUACAAAGUCCGCAUCACUGCAGACGCCGCGCCGAACCGUCUGUCGAUCUCCCGCUCCGUUCUUCCCUCACUCGUGAACAAGACCCCGAGAUACUUGAACUCCUCCACUUGGGGAAGGAUCUCAUCCACCGACCUGGAGAGGGCACGCCACCCUUUUCCGACUGAGGACCAUAGUCUCGGAUUUGUCGGUGCCGAUUCUCAUUCUAGCCACUUCACAGAUGUUUCACGGCUUUCUAAAAAGAAAAAUAUAUAUACACACGUAUGUCUGUCAUUAGAAUUUCGUUGCUGCACGCGUCUUAUUUAAAGUCCGAAACGCGGCGAUUGCCCAACUCCAAAGAGCCGAUUAAGAGCCACUCCGAUGCCGGCUCAUCAUCAGCGCUGCGAUUUUCCGGCCGCUAAUUCAACGCGCACUUCCACGACACUGUCAAAAGCAAAUAUCAGCGACGGCCUAAUUUGCCUCAUAAAGAUCCCGUUUGCCUUCUUUGCUGAUUUUUAAAAAUUUUUUUUUUUUUAAAUCACUCAGGCAAGCGGCGACAGGGGCGGGAAGUCGACACGUGGGCCCCAUCUGCUGACAAAGACUUUAUUCCGUU